AGUGAACGCUGGCGGUAGGCCUAACACAUGCAAGUCGAACGGCAGCACAGUAAGCGCUUGCUCUUACGGGUGGCGAGUGGCGGACGGGUGAGUAUUACAUCGGAAUCUACUUUUUCGUUGGGGAUAACGUAGGGAAACUUACGCUAAUACCGCAUACGACCUCCGGGUGAAAGCAGGGGAUCUUCGGACCUUGCGCGAUUGAAUUAGCCGAUGUCGGAUUCGCUCGUUGGCGGGUUAAAGGCCCACCAAGGCGACGCUCCGUAGCUGGUCUGAGAGGAAGAUCAGGAACAGGGGAAAGAGGAAAAGGAGCAGAAUCGGAAGGGAGGCAGGAGUGGGGAAGAUUGGAGAAGGGGCGGAAGGGUGAAUCAGACAAAGGGCGUGAGUGAAGAAGGGCUUCGGGUUGUAAAGCACUUUUGUUGGGAAAGAAAAGCAGCAGGUUGAUACGCAGCUGUACUGAGGGUACCGAAAGAAUAAGCACCGGCUAACUUCGU
rnacentral:rRNA from 1 species